UGGAACGGAAAGGUCCCUGUGCAGGCGG
rnacentral:piRNA from 1 species